rnacentral:rRNA from 1 species
GAGUUUGAUCCUGGCUCAGGAUGAACGCUAGCGGCAGGCCUAACACAUGCAAGUCGAGGGGUAACAGGGAAGCUUGCUUCCGCUGACGACCGGCGCACGGGUGCGUAACGCGUAUACAAUCUACCUUUUGCUGUGGGAUAGCCCAGAGAAAUUUGGAUUAAGACCACAUGGUAUUAAGACAUGGCAUCAUGAUUUAAUUAAAGGUUACGGCAAAAGAUGAGUAUGCGUCCUAUUAGCUAGAUGGUGUGGUAACGGCACACCAUGGCAACGAUAGGUAGGGGUCCUGAGAGGGAGAUCCCCCACACUGGUACUGAGACACGGACCAGACUCCUACGGGAGGCAGCAGUGAGGAAUACUGGACAAUGGGCGCAAGCCUGAUCCAGCCAUGCCGCGUGCAGGAAGACGGCCCUAUGGGUUGUAAACUGCUUUUAUACAGGAAGAAACACCUCCUCGUGAGGGGGCUUGACGGUACUGUAAGAAUAAGGAUCGGCUAACUCCGUGCCAGCAGCCGCGGUAAUACGGAGGAUCCAAGCGUUAUCCGGAAUCAUUGGGUUUAAAGGGUCCGUAGGUGGACUACUAAGUCAGAGGUGAAAUCCCACAGCUAACUGUGGCACUGCCUUUGAUACUGGUGGUCUUGAGUCAUUAUGAAGUGGUUAGAAUAUGUAUGUAGCGGUGAAAU